CAGGGGGCGACACCCCACUUUCAAAAACCCUAGAAUUCUACUAAAACUCUCAAAUUGGAGGUGCAAAUCUGGUCCAAACGAAAAUCCGAGCUUAGAAUCGUGAUCCUCAUCGCAAGAGGAUUACAAGGAAAGGAUACCGGAACGUCGAGUGGACAAGCCGGUGGUGAUUUGCGGUUGAAGGGCGUACACUAAGGUUAUGUUGGGGGAACUUACGGAUGGCGAUCAAGCAUAAGAUGAAGAACCGAACACUACAUUUUGAAGCUUCCGCAAUGUUAUUAAAUCUUUACUAGUCUUUGUGUAUGGAUUGUAAACAAUCGUUAAACAACUUUUGAAAUGUUUUAACCUAGUGUAGUGGACUAUGGUUAUGCUACAUGUGAACUUUUUGUACGAAAUUUAUGCUA